rnacentral:rRNA from 1 species
GAUGAACGCUGGCGGCGUGCCUAAUACAUGCAAGUCGAGCGAACAGAUGAGGAGCUUGCUCCUCUGACGUUAGCGGCGGACGGGUGAGUAACACGUGGAUAACCUACCUAUAAGACUGGGAUAACUUCGGGAAACCGGAGCUAAUACCGGAUAAUAUAUUGAACCGCAUGGUUCAAUAGUGAAAGACGGUUUUGCUGUCACUUAUAGAUGGAUCCGCGCCGCAUUAGCUAGUUGGUAAGGUAACGGCUAACCAAGGCAACGAUGCGUAGCCGACCUGAGAGGGUGAUCGGCCACACUGGAACGGAGACACGGUCCAGACUCCGACGGGAGGCAGCAGUAGGGAAUCUUCCGCAAUGGGCGAAAGCCUGACGGAGCAACGCCGCGUGAGUGAAGAAGGUCUUCGGAUCGUAAAACUCUGUUAUUAGGGAAGAACAAAUGUGUAAGUAACUAUGCACGUCUUGACGGUACCUAAUCAGAAAGCCACGGCUAACUACGUG